rnacentral:rRNA from 1 species
GUAUUUUGACCGUGCAAAGGUAGCGCAAUCACUUGUCUUUUAAAUGAAGACCUGUAUGAAUGGUGGAACGAGGGCUUAACUGUCUCCCCCUUCUAGUCAAUGAAAUUGAUCUACCCGUGCAGAAGCGGGUAUAAUUAUACAAGACGAGAAGACCCUUUGGAGCUUAAGAUAAAAGACCAACUAUGUCAAAAGUCCUAAAAAAGACUAAACCAAAUUAGUACUGGGCCUAAUCUUCGGUUGGGGUGACCACGGGAGAAAACAAAGCUCCCAUGCGGAUUGGGGUAAUUCCCUAAAACUAAGAGAGACAUCUCUAAGACACAGAACAUCUGACCAUAAAGAUCCGGCUACAUGCCGACCAACGGACCAAGUUACCCUAGGGAUAACAGCGCAAUCCCCUUCCAGAGUCCAUAUCGACAAGGGGGUUUACGACCUCGAUGUUGGAUCAGGACAUCCU